GACGAACGCUGGCGGCGUGCUUAACACAUGCAAGUCGAACGGAAAGGCCCUGCUUUUGUGGGGUGCUCGAGUGGCGAACGGGUGAGUAACACGUGAGUAACCUGCCCUUGACUUUGGGAUAACUUCAGGAAACUGGGGCUAAUACCGGAUAGGAGCUCCUGCUGCAUGGUGGUGGUUGGAAAGUUUCGGCGGUUGGGGAUGGACUCGCGGCUUAUCAGCUUGUUGGUGGGGUAGUGGCUGACCAAGGCUUUGACGGGUAGCCGGCCUGAGAGGGUGACCGGGCACAUUGGGACUGAGGUACGGCGCAGACUCCUACGGGAGGCAGCAGUGGGGAGUAUUGCGCAAUGGGCGGAAGCCUGAUGCAGCAACGCUGCGUGCGGGAUGAUGUCCUUCGGGUUGUAAACCGCUUUCGCCUGUGACGAAGAGUGAGUGACGGUAAUGGGUAAAGAAGCACCGGCUAACUACGUG
rnacentral:rRNA from 1 species